GCGGCAGUGGCGGAAUUGGCAGACGCCUCAGACUUAAAAUCUGAUACCUUCUGGGUGUGCGGGUUCGAGCCCCGCCUGCCGUACCA
rnacentral:tRNA from 1 species